rnacentral:lncRNA from 1 species
UUUAAACGAUACAUUUACUAUAUAAACUCGGAAAAUCUGUACGUUUCACAUCUUCUCUAAACAGAUCAAAAACUCUGUUCAAAAGCUGCAAUGGAUACAAAAGUGUUGAUUUGUUUGACAGUUUGCGCACUGCUUGCUGUAGGUGUGAGCGGAAAAACAGCGAAAGCGGACUUGCUCUCUGCAUUGAAGAGUGGUGGUGGACUCCUGAAUGAGCGUGCAGAUAAAGAAAUUGAAGACGUUCCAAUGAGGAAGAAGAGAGGGGGCUGUGGAAGCAGCGAUUGCUCAUACUCAGACUAAAGCGACAAUUAAUAACACCGUCAGAAGAUCACUAACUUGUUUUGUUGUUGUUGUUUUUUGACAAUAUCAAUGAUCUGAACAGUUGAUUUUCGAAAGCUAAUUUUCUGUUUAAAUGAACUGUCGACCUUCUAAUGUUAUGCUCUUUUUUCAGUGAUCUAAACAGUUGGUUUCUGAAUGUUAAUAUUCUAUUUCAAUGAAACAAAUAAAUUGCGAUAUUAGACUUAAAAUAAAAAGAAUGCUUUGCA